GCCACUUUAGCUUAGUGGUAGAUCGUCUGCUUCGUAAGCAGAAGGUCGUCAGUUCAAUCCU
rnacentral:tRNA from 1 species